GUAAGGAAUAUUGGGCAAUGGAGGCAACUCUGACCCAGCCAUGCCGCGUGAAGGAUUGACGGCCCUCUGGGUUGUAAACUUCUUUUAUACGGGAAGAAACUUCCGAACGUGUUCGGAAUUGACUGUACCGUAGGAAUAAGCAUCGGCUAACUCCGUGCCAGCAGCCGCGGUAAUACGGAGGAUGCAAGCGUUAUCCGGAUUUAUUGGGUUUAAAGGGUGCGUAGGCGGAAUGAUAAGUCAGUGGUGAAAGCCUGCGGCUUAACCGUAGAACUGCCAUUGAUACUGUUGUUCUUGAGUAUAGUUGAGGUGGGCGGAAUGUGUAAUGUAGCGGUGAAAUGCUUAGAUAUUACACAGAACACCGAUUGCGAAGGCAGCUCACUAAGCUGUUACUGACGCUGAGGCACGAAAGCGUGGGGAGCAAACAGGAUUAGAAACCCUAGUAGUCC
rnacentral:rRNA from 1 species